AACGAACGCUGGCGGCAGGCUUAACACAUGCAAGUCGAGCGCCCCGCAAGGGGAGCGGCAGACGGGUGAGUAACGCGUGGGAAUCUACCCAUCUCUACGGAAUAACGCAUGGAAACGUGUGCUAAUACCGUAUACGUCCUUCGGGAGAAAGAUUUAUCGGAGAUGGAUGAGCCCGCGUUGGAUUAGCUAGUUGGUGGGGUAAAGGCCUACCAAGGCGACGUUCCAUAGCUGGUCUGCGAGGAUGAUCAGCCACACUGGGACUGAGACACGGCCCAGACUCCUACGGGAGGCAGCAGUGGGGAAUAUUGGACAAUGGGCGCAAGCCUGAUCCAGCCAUGCCGCGUGAGUGAUGAAGGCCCUAGGGUUGUAAAGCUCUUUCACCGGUGAAGAUAAUGACGGUAACCGGAGAAGAAGCCCCGGCUAACUUCGUGCCAGCCGCCGCAGUAACAC
rnacentral:rRNA from 1 species